CACGUAGGGUGCGAGCGUUGUCCGGAAUUAUUGGGCGUAAAGAGCUCGUAGGCGGUGUGUCGCGUCGGCCGUGAAAACUUGCAGCUUAACUGUGGGCGGGCGGUCGAUACGGGCAUCACUGGAGUUCGGCAGGGGAGACUGGAAUUCCUGGUGUAGCGGUGAAAUGCGCAGAUAUCAGGAGGAACACCGGUGGCGAAGGCGGGUCUCUGGGCCGAUACUGACGCUGAGGAGCGAAAGCGUGGGGAGCGAACAGG
rnacentral:rRNA from 1 species